rnacentral:lncRNA from 1 species
CCCACUCACUGGUAUGUCGAAAGGUGGUAGCCCCCGAGUCGCCCGUGGAUUAGCUCGUCCUCGAGAUAAGUCUCACGUAUAUGUGAAUUAACUAUAAAAACGUUAUUUUAAAGCACAUAAGCAAAACUAACUAAUAACUUCUCAUACAUAGCUCAAAAUAGGUAUAUGAAUAUACCACAGUGACCUACAUAACUCCACAAACAUUCCCAUAUUUUUAGAAUAUUUUUCCGAGCUCCCACGCACCGCCACGCGCCAGCAAAGGCACGGCAAAACGCGUCGAUCACGCACGACCACGUGCCUGGCACGUGUAACGGAAUAGAAACAGCGUUAGGAAUAUUCCCUGGAAUAUUCCGUUAAAACCCAACGGUAACCGUCCAAACUAACUGACAGCGUCAGCAUAUUCCAUCCAAACUGACGGAAUAUUCCGUCUUCGUCCCCAGCCGGUCGUCGAAAAAAUGGGUAAAACUUUAAACUCACUAUUCUCACUCGUUUUUCAACCAUUUUUCAUGAAAUUUGAACCAUAUGAAAGCUUAGAGUGAGAAGAAUGGCAUUAUACCUAUUUGAAGCUUCCAAUCUCACAAAAUCACGUCGGGGAAGCUUCGAAAUUCUGACCAAAACUGUAACUCGACGUUUCUCGUGAUCUCGACGUCCAAUUUCCUCAAACGAACUACCCCGAGACUCGUGAGGACCUCAUUAAGCUUCCUAUGAGAUUAGAUUUCCCUAAAACACAAGGUUUUACGUGAGUAUGAACAUUGCAUGAAAAUUGGGUAACAGGUUCACGAGUUUUCAGAGAAUUCCCUACCUAAAAUUGGUGUCAAACGAUUCGUAGCAUCACAAGGAACACAAUGGUGACAAUUACACCCUCGAUCUGCAAGGUUUGGGGUGAG